GGGCUCGUAGCUCAGUGGCUAGAGCGCUCGGUUCACAUCCGAGAGGCCCCUGGUUCGAUCCCAGGCGAGCCCACCA
rnacentral:tRNA from 1 species